CCCAAUAAAUGCGUAAAAAAUGACCGAAAAAGCGUUUCAUCGCUGGUCGAAAAAUGGACCUAUUUUUCGCCCAUCUCUAGUAAUACGUGGGUGCUUUUGUAACGAUGUCUCUCGGAAGUACGGCAUACAACAUUAAUACUGGUUGCAGCAUUCUGCAGAAUUUCAAGAUCCAGAGAUCUUUAAAUAUUGACCCGAGAGCCCCGGUUAUGUAAGGCGCAUCCAUGAGCAA